CCUGGGGAUCCCUAAAUGCCAUCUCUCUUUCUUGGCAAAACCCUGGGCCUGAGCCAGGACUGAGUAAUAGAGGGGAAACCACCCUGGAUGGAAUGGGACAGGCCCAAGUGACCUUGGGCAAGUCCCUGCCCUCCUGCACUGGUCUCAGAUGCUUCCUCUGAUAAACAGAGAGUUUAACCCCACCUCAUUUUUCUGUCCACCCAAUAAACGUCUACUGAACUCCUACUACAUUCCUGGCAUUUGCUUGGCAUGUGGGCAGAUAAAUAGAGGAAUUAGACUCAGUGCCUGGAAGAACCCACAGUCAGGUGGGGUGGGAGAGAAGGCACAUAUAACAUAUAAUUACAAAUACUCUUGGUGGGUGCUAGGGGACGUGGACAGUCCCUGCCAGAUCUGGGAUCCCCAGAGUGUGUCAGUCCAGGGACAGGAAUACGUGAUUGACUUGGCAAGAUUACAGGGCUGCACCCAGAGAGGCGUUGGCCCUUGAAGGUCAGGAAAGCCCUGGCCCAGCUUCGGAGAGCAAAGCUGGUGAACAGGGGCUUUGGAAUCUGGCAGAUCCAGGUUUCACUCCAGAGCAGACACCGACCAGAGGCAGCAGUGUAGUUCUCUGGGUCUCAAAUUGUUCCUGUUGUCAAAGGAGGAUGCCCCCAAGCUCCCUGGGAGUUUGGACGUUCCAUAAGAUGACAGAAGUGUGGCACAGAGGCUGGCGCGUAGUGUGUGUUUCCACCGUCUGGGCACGAGGGGGCGGAGCUGCAUGCCCCCCCUCCCCCCGAUUCUGGGACACACCCGCACUUUGCCUCCCUGGCUGGCCUCCGCAGGGCAGACUUUCUUGCUAACGGCCUCUGGCCCCAAGAGGACUCUGCUUAGCUCUUCCUUUAAAAAAAAAAAUUUUUUUUUAAAUGUUUGUUUAUUAUUGAGAGAUGGAGUGUGGGAGGGGCAGAGACACAGAAUCCAAAGCAGGCUCUAGGCUCUGAGCUGUCAGCACAGCCCGAUGUGGGGCUUGAACCCAUGAACUGUGAGAUCAUGACCUGAGCCGAAGUCGGACACUUAACUGACUGAGCCACCCAGGCGCCCUUGCCUGGCCCUUUCUUGAUCCCAUAAAUGCUACAGUGGGCUUUCCUCCUUCCAGGCUAGAGUCCUUUCCACCAUGCCCCUCUGCCUUCCUGAUCUGACUGUGAACUUGGUAUGUGCUGAAGCCACGGGUGGGACUCCUCUGGGGUAAGCCGGGGCAGGCUGCGGAUUCUUUCCUCUCUCCCCAGCAGCGGGGCACUGCUGGAGCUCCCUCCUCCUGCCCAACAACUUGCUGAGGACAAGGUGACAUCCUUCCUCCCUUCUCAGAGGCAGGACUGACUGGCUUCCUAGAAGAAGGCUUCAGGACAGGCCCAGCGUCAGACGCACCCAAGGGAGGCAGGAGGAAGCUGCUGGCAGGGGGAGGGUGGGAGCGUGGGACAGCAGUGGAAGGACAGGUUCACCCGCAUUCUUGGCAGGUCCCAGGAUUGCAAAGCACUUUCUGUUUUUGUCACCGACUGCCAGUCGCUUACUCUGCCAAGGCCACAGCGCACCAAGCUUUUCAGAGCACGGAGCCCUUCUGUUUGUAAUUCCCGCUCUCCACAACAUGAGAGAUGGGUCCCACUGGCUCUGUUUUACAGAUGAGGAAAUUGAGGCCUCGAGAGGAAGAGUCACAUGUCCAAACUCAGAUGGGCUGAUGGGAAGGAAUCAACAUUUCAUCGAGAACAUGCCACAAGCCAGGCCCGUUCCAUACGCGAGAACUGUGCCUCCUUUCAACAGCCCAGCAAGACGCCUUGUUCAGGUUUUCCCCACUCUGCAGAUGAGCUGCCCCAAACCCAACUUGGUGAACACACUUGCCCGGGGUCCCAGAACUAGGAAGCCCAGAGCCAAGAUGUGAGCGGAGAUCCACCGGGCUCCUGGUCCUGCUGUGCUCAUUUCCCUCUCCACGGUAAAGGCUAGGAGGAAGCAGAGACUCAGAAAGGUUCAAGCUGGGCCAGGGUCACGCCAGCCGCUAGCAAGUGGCAAACGUCGUUUUCCACCCAGGUCUAACUCCAGAACUUCUGCAUUUCCCGCAAAGCUGCAUGGUCUCAAUAACUUCUUUUGUGGAGCAACUGACUGAUACCAAAUCACCACAAAUGACUCAGAGACAGAAAGACUGAAAGGGCCAUGAACCUUAUUACUGUUGUCGUUAACGCUGUUCUUCAUCGCAGGGUCAGCAUUUACACCGUAUGGCUCAGACGGGCAGAAAUAAGACUUGUUUUCUUUUGCAACUGAGCCUGACUUGAUCACAGCUUCCCUCCCCCCCAGUUUUAUUUCUGAGUGAAAGUUUAUUCUCUGCACGGCAACUGAAUAAAAUGCAUGAUCCUGCGUUUUCUUUUGUUAUAAAGGACAUUUGAGGACAACCAGUAAAAUCUGAAGUCUAUAGCUUAGAUAAGGGUGCUGUAUAGUGAUGACUCUCUAAUCUUAAUAAUUGUUCUGUGAGUAUAUAGGAGGAUGUCCUUUUUUUUAAAUGUUUAUUUAUUAUAUUGAAUGAGAGAGAGAGCACGUAUGAGCAGGGGAGGGGCUGAGAGAGAUGGAGAGAGAGAGAAUCCCAAGCAAGUUCAGUGCUAUCAGCACAGACCCCGACUCAGGGUUUGAACUCACAAACUGUGAGAUCAUGACCUGAGCCCACAUCAAGAGUCGGAUGCUUAAUUGACUGAGCCACCCAGGUGCGCCGAGGAUGUCCUUGUUUUUAAGAAAUACAUGUUGAAGGAGGCACCAGGGUGGCUCAGCCAGUUGAGCGUCUGACUUUGGCUCAGGUCAUGAUCUCCAGGUUCAUGAGUUCGAGCCCCACAUCAGGCUCGCUGCUGUCAGCCUGUCAGCUAGAGCCUGCUUCAAAUCCUGUGUCCCCCUCUCUCUGCCCCUCCUCUGCUUGUGCUCUCCCCCAGAACAAAUAAAUAUUUUUAAAAAAUAUGUGCUGAAGUACUUAGGGGUAAAGAGGUAAUGUGUCUGUAGCUUUUAAAUAUUUCAGAAAAACAGGAUACAUGCACUGCAGAAAACACACAGAAGGGGAAAGCAAAUGAGGUAAAAUGUUAACAUCUGGGGAGUUGGGGUGAAGGGUAUCUUGGAAGUCUUUGCACUAUUCUUGUGACUUUUCUGUAAAUCUGAAACGAUGUCAAAAGCAAAAGAUUUGAAUUCAAAAAUGUAUUCUUGUUUGGGCAAAAAGUCACAUCGGGAUCCAAAAUCUGAUGGUGUCCAACCGCCUCCCCUCAGGAUGACAUCUGGGGCCUUGGGCCUGGGCUCCUGGGCGGGCUGGCCCUGCUGGUGUCAGCUUCACUCCCCAUCAUUUCUCGGCUGGCAUGACUGGUCCAGCCUGGUGCUGGGCCCGAGCCUGUGUCGCUCCAGAGUGCGCUCCAGUCAUGGCCUCUGGUGUCAGUGCUGUGCCCUGGGAGCCCUUCUCAUCCUGACCCCAAGUCUCUCACAAUCAGUGUCUUACCAGUGCUUGGAUACACCCCACUGGAAACUUCUGACGCUUACCAUGACCCACAAAGGCCUUGGGGGAGUCACGCUCUUGUAUGAGUCAGUCCCAUCAGGAAAACGGAAAUCACACUGGCUGUUUUAAGAGAGAAAUCUUAAUGUAAGGAAUUGGCUCAACAGUAUUGGACAAGUGGAAAAGCAAACAGUGAGAUAUCAGAGGUAUGACUGCAGGAAACAGAUACCGUCCCUCGGGAUGGGGGGACAGAGGGAGAAGCUGAGAUUAUUAGAAUCUAGAAACUGGAACCCCGACCCGUGACGAGUGGCUGGUGUUGCUACAUCCACAGGGAGGCCAGUUCUGGGGAUGUGAGAAACAGUUGGAAACUGGAACCAGUUGCCACUGCCGGGGUGAAGAGUUAUUGUGAGGUGACGUUGCUACAAAGGAAGGGCCAGGAGGAAGCCUCAAGUCCUUUUCCGGUGGCCAUCUUGUGCUCUCUAGCGCCCCCUAUGGACAGAGCCUGCCAUGGAAACAGCUGGAGAAACAAGUGUCACAAGACAGAACAGAGAGAAGUGAGUCACUAAGUCCAGUCCUGGAGGCAGAAAAUUAAGCUCCACUUCCCGGAGGGAGAAGUAUCAGAGAAUCUGUGGACAUCUGUUCAAACCACUAUGCUUCUGGAAGACUUGGGUGUGGCUGCUGUGGGGCCAGAGCAAGGCCCCGGCGGGCGCAGCUCAGUGCUCCGCGCUCCCACCCUGCUGUCCAGGUCCCCUCGCCAGCACGCCUGGCUACUCCCCAGACAGCAGGACGAACAAGCCUCCAUUGAUUCUGCAUCAUGGCUAGAAGAAUGCCCCUUUGUUGAGCACUUCCCCCUCCUCCUGUGUGUCUUUGCCCACAGGAGAGGCAUUCAGGUCCUGCUCGCACGCCUGCUGCUCCAUGAAUCCCCACCAGAACGGGAAGCUUGUCAAAAGGAGGAAGCAUGGGCUGUUCCUCUCUGUACCCCUGUGCCCAACCCGGAGCUUGGUCUUGAAGCGACACUUCAGAGUCUCAAGGAACAAAUGAACUGACUUCUGUCGGUGGCUCUACCACCUCCCAAUCACCCAGGCCUGAAACCUGACCAGCCCAAUGCCUGGCUGGUCACAAGCUCUGCUGAUUCUCCCUGAAAAGCCACCCCGACUUCUCAGUCUGGGCUUCACAGCCCUCCCCAGGCUGGCACCAACCUAGCCAACUGCGUCCGGGGGUCCCCUCCUUCUGCCGGCCUGGACUCUCCACUGCUCACUCAUCCACCCACCUCCACACUAUUUACUGAGCCCAUACGGAGCCCUGCCAUUGCUCCAGGGGCUGGGGAUGCAGGGAACAGGCAGACUGAGUCCUCUCCCUCAAGGCUCUCACAGUCUCUUGGGGGUAGACGGACAAUAAAUCGGUGUGCAAAUG